UUAUGGAAAGGCCAGCACCCUCCGGACAUCCAGGGCAUAUAACCUGCGCUCCUCUUUGGAACUAUGGGGCUUUGGAAAGAAGACCACUAAGAAAAUGUCCUGGACAGCAUGAAACUGGGAAACUUCAUUGGGCGGGAACAACAGGUGUGGCCACAACUGGACAUUGUCCUUGUAGAACACCAUAUAGGGUGGUUCCAACGUAAGCGCCCUGAACUCAGACACUCUGUGGACAGAUGUAAUUGCCACCAAGAACACCACCUUCCAGGAGAAAAGGAGACUAGAACAGAAAGCAGGAGGCUCAAAUGGAGGUUCCAUAAGCCUCAACAGUAUGAGGUUCAAAUCCCAGGGAGGGACCAGAUCCCGGAAGUGUGGGUAAAGACACUCCAAACCUGUUAGGAAUUGGGCUGUCAUGUGGUGAGCGAAGAUCGACCUGCCUUGGAACGGAGGGUGGAAAGCUGAAAUAGCAGCCAGGUGGAUCCUGAUUGACAACAGUGACUAUCACAAGCCUUGGAGCUUGAGGUGCAGGAGAUAGUCCAGGCUCACCUGCAGGGAGGCCUGCUCGGCCAAGAUAUGUUGAUCCGAGGCCCAGCACGUAAACCGUUUCCACUUUGCCCAACAGGUCACUCUGAUGGAGGGCUUUCUGCUACCCAGCAGGACCGGUUUCAUUUGGGUUGAGCAUUCCCAGUCAUCCGCAUUUAGCCACACACAAGCCACACUCUCAAGUUCAGAACCUCCAGAUUCGGGUGCAGGAGACUGCUGUGAUUCUGAAACAGAAGGUCCGGCCAGAGAGGGAGUUGCACUGGCUAUGCUACCGAAAGGUCCAGCAGCGUGCCAAACCAGUGCUGGUGAGGCCACUUGGGGGCUAUCAGGAUAAACCUUGCCUUGUCCUGCUUGAUUUUCACUAGGACACUGUGGAUCAAUGGCACUGGUGGGAAGGCGUACAUCAGGGCCCCGACCAGGGAAGUAGGAAAGCAUCUGACUGCAAACUGCUGUCUAUCCCCUGAAGCGAACAGAACACACGGCAUUUCCUGUUCUGGCAGGUCGAGAACAAGUCCACCUGGGGAGUCCCCCACUUCUGGACUGACCACAUAAGUACAGGCAGGUGUGAGCCAUGGUGAGUGGGUAGCUCCUCACAUGGGAGAUCAGAUUCAACAUGGCCUGAAAACGCGCCUCUGGGAGGAAGGCUCUGGCUCACAUGGAGUAGAGAACCGCUCCAAUGAAUUCUGUGUUGGACCAGCCUAAAGGUGGAUUUUUUUCUCAUUUAUCAACAGGUCAAGGUCGUGGCAGGUGCAACACACCAGAUUGAGGCUUCUCUGCACUUGGUUACAGGACCUGCCCGGAUGAGCCAGUCGUCGAGGUAAGCAAGGUGGACCCCUUGGCAUCUGAGGCCCCUGGUGAGACUGUCAAGGCUUAGGUGGCAGGGACUGCCAGAACUGCCAAAUUAUUGGCCCAGCCCCUAAGGAAGGGACUCCUUGAACUUCUGGUUUGCCACCUGGAACUGCAAACUGGCUGUCAAAUAAAUCUUUCUUUCAAA